UAUGGUUCCUUAGAUCGCACUUACUACUUGGAUAACUGUGGUAAUUCUAGAGCUAAUACAUGCGCAGAGCCCCAACCCUCGUGGAAGGGGCGCUUUUAUUAGAUCAAAGCCAAUCGAGUUUCGGCUCGUUUCUUUGGUGACUCUGAAUAACUUUGCUGAUCGCAUGGUCUUGUACCGGCGACGUAUCUUUCAAGUGUCUGCCUUAUCAACUUUCGAUGGUACGUUAUGCGCCUACCAUGGUUGUAACGGGUAACGGGGAAUUAGGGUUCGAUCCCGGAGAGGGAGCCUGAGAAACGGCUACCACA
rnacentral:rRNA from 1 species